rnacentral:rRNA from 1 species
UACGUAGGUCCCAAGCGUUGUCCGGAUUUAUUGGGCGUAAAGCGAGCGCAGGUGGUUUCUUAAGUCUGAUGUAAAAGGCAGUGGCUCAACCGGGGAGGGUCAUUGGAAACUGGGAGACUUGAGUGCAGAAGAGGAGAGUGGAAUUCCAUGUGUAGCGGUGAAAUGCGUAGAUAUAUGGAGGAACACCGGUGGCGAAAGCGGCUCUCUGGCCUGUAACUGACACUGAGGCUCGAAAGCGUGGGGAGCAAACAGG